rnacentral:ncRNA from 1 species
ACAUUAAAAAAAAGGAGGGAAGGUUAGCAUUUCCCUUGAUCAGGAGGGUAAAGGUUCUAGUGACCUUUACAAUACAUAUAUAAUUAAGGCAUUGCCACCUUGUUUGAAGACAACAUGGUACAGUAUAAGAGUGACAAUUUUGG